GCCUCUGUGGCUUAGCGGUAUAUAAAUAUUUUUCUCAAAUACGCCGAAAGCGAUAGAUUUGCUAUCUAUCGGUCGGGGGUUCAAUUCCCCCCAGAGGCU
rnacentral:tRNA from 1 species